AUUGAACGCUGGCGGCAGGCCUAACACAUGCAAGUCGAGCGAGCGGCGGACGGGUGAGUAAUAUAUGGGGAACUGCCCGAUAGAGGGGGAUAACUACUGGAAACGGUGGCUAAUACCGCAUACUAUCGGAUGAACCCAAAUGGGAUUAGCUAGUAGGUGGGGUAAAGGCUCACCUAGGCGACGAUCCCUAGCUGGUCUGAGAGGAUGAUCAGCCACACUGGGACUGAGAAACGGCCCAGACUCCUACGGGAGGCAGCAGUGGGGAAUAUUGCACAAUGGGCGCAAGCCUGAUGCAGCCAUGCCGCGUGUAUGAAGAAGGCCUUAGGGUUGUAAAGUACUUUCAGCGGGGAGGCGUUACUCGCAGAAGAAGCACCGGCUAACUCCGUGCCAGCAGCCGCGGUAAUAC
rnacentral:rRNA from 1 species